rnacentral:rRNA from 1 species
GCCCCGGGGCUCGUGAUAUCUCAUCUCGCCGCCCGUCGCGAGGCGGACGGAGGGAUGGAUGAGGUUACCUGGAAAAAAUCGGGGCGAUCUAGGCGGGCGAACCUCGCCAACGAACGAUCGGACAUGGGAUAACGGAAGAGGGCGUCGGCUCGACUUCGUCGGUUCCUCGGGCCGAGGCACGUACGGUGAAUAGGGACGGUCGGGGCCGCCCGUACCGGGUCGUGAGAGGUGAAAUUCUAGGAUCGACCCGAGACGAACCGCCGCGAAAGCAUUCGGCAAGGACGCUUUCAUUAAUCAAGAACGAAAGUCGGGGGAUCGAAGACGAUCAGAUACCGUCGUAGUCCCGACCGUAAACGAUGCCGACCGAGGGCCCCGGAGGAGUUACGUACGACCCUCCGGGCCCUCCCGCGAGAAAUCAGGAGUAUUCGGGUUCCGGGGGGAGUAUGGUCGCAAGGCCGAAACUUAAAGGAAUUGACGGAAG